UUAUUAUCGAAAACAAUGUUUAUUAACACAUACAAAUGUACCAAUAAUUGGUACCGUCUCGGUUCUAAUGUGAAUGUGCCGAAUAUCAAUCAAUCAAUCAAUCAAUGUUUACUUAUAUAGCCCUAAAUCACUAGUGUCUCAAAGGGCUGAAUAGGGGAGGAAUACAUGCCGAUUCCUUUUAUUUUAGGGCAACUAAUCAAGUAAUUGUUAAAACUUCCAAAUAUUGAUUUUAUGGUUUGAGAAAAUGACUUGUGUCCACUAUAUUGGACAUCAUGCAUUGCAGACCCAUCCAUCCAUAUUUAUAUUGCCAUGUAUAUUAUUGUAAGACUUUAUUUUUAUCUAAAUACUUCAUAAAUCAAUUAAUUUGUUAUUGAAAUGUGCAUUUAAUUUUGUAGCAGUAUUUUGUGGAUAUUAGUCAAAAAAGGUGUUUUUGAUGUCAGGAGGCCUGAUGUUUUGGGAUAAUUUAACAAUAUUGGAUUGUGUUGAAAUAUGUGUAGACAUUGUUAAAGAUAAUUAACAACUCAUUGUAUAGUAUUCACUUUUUUUUUUUUUUUGUUUCUACAUGUAACACAUUUUGUCCCUGCAUGUCAACAUUCAAUUUUUGGGGGGGGUCAAAAAGAAGUAGGCCAUCAUAAUACUUGCUUGAAAUAGUUAAACUAAUAUACUUUAAGUUGAUAGUUUGCCUCAGGAAAACCUUUUUUUGUAUUUCCUAGCACUUUUUUUUGGUAAAAAUUACAAAUUGAAAGAAACUUAAAUGUGGAACAUCCGCACAAAAAAUCCACAAUCCAAAAUUGAGAGUAUUCGACUUAUAUUUCACCAGGACCAUAAUUAUUUUGUUACGGAACUGCCAUUGCUAUUCUGUAUCUUUCUGACUCUUGACCUUUUUAGAGAAAUAAUACUAACAUAAUAAAAACGGUAAACAAAAGAAGCUUUAUUGCAUAAGGAAAGAAUGGAAAUGAAAUGUUGACCACGACUGUAUGUCACUAUAUUUCAAACCGUGUUCUGACAGAUGCACACAAAACGUCCCACUCUGAGCUCUUCUGCAUGCAGUUGUUUUCACCUUUACCUGGUCUAUGACAGGCUUUUGAAAUCCUCAAGUGUGUUUUUCCCCGCACACAGGAUUAAGGUCUUGUGUUCAGGUGGGAUCCCUGGAACUCCCUAAGUCUUCCUCUUAAGGCUAAUCCCUCGCUGUCUGGAAAUAACAUUUUUGUGAAGUGUGUGAGACGGCCAGCUGGUCACUUCCCCGGCCUGACUUGACGGUCAGACUGGAUUGAAAGGCACGCACAUAUUCUCCAAUGAUCUUCUGCGGUAAUCCUUGUCAUCCCUGGCUCCUCCUCACUGACCACGUCAUCAAGGUUUGAAGAGGACUCCUACCUGCGAUGUCGAUGGCCAGAUCCUUGAUGAGAUGUCCGAUGAUGGCGUAGGCCACCCCCACCACCACCAGCGCCGCCAUCAGCAGUUGUGCACUCUCCAAAAGCCGUUGAGGUUAUAACGUGACUGGGCCGGCACGCUGUUUACACGGAGGAAAAGUAGAUGAGACGACAGGCUGUCCUCACUCAGGUCCGGCUGGAAUUCGGGAGAACGGUUGUCCCGGGAGAUUUUCGGGAGAGGCACUAAAAUUCGGGUGGGUUGGUAGGUAUGCUUUAAGGCAGUGGUUCUCAACCUUUUUUCAGUGAUGAACCCCCUGUGAACAUGUUUUUAAUUCAAGUACCCCCUAAUCAGAGCAAAGCAUUUUUGGUUGAAAAAAAGAGAUAGAGAAGUAAAAUACAGCACUAUGUCAUCAGUUUCUGAUUUAUUAAAUUGUAUAACAGCGCAAAAUAUUGCUCAUUUGUAGUGGUCUUUCUUGAACUAUUUGGAAAAAAAGAUAUAAAAAUAACUAAAAACUUGUCGAAAAAUAAACAAGUGAUUCAAUUAUAAAUUAAGAUUUCUAGACAUAGAAGUAAUCAUCAACUUAAAGUGACCCCUUUGGGGAUUGUAAUAGAGAUCAAUCUUGAUUCAUCAACUUCUUUCUAAACAUUCCUUCACAAAAAAAUAAAUCUUUAACAUAAAUAUUUAUGGAACAUGUCCACAAAAAAUUUAGCUGUCAACACUGAAUAUUGCAUUGUUGCAUUUCUUUUCACAGUUUAUGAACUUACAUUCAUAUUUUGUUGAAGUAUUAUUCAAGAAAUAUAUUUAUAAAGGAUUUUUGCCGGAGCAGCAUAGCUCGGUUGGUAGAGUGGCCGUGCCAGCAACAUGAGGGUUGCAGGUUCGAUUCCCGCUUGUGCCAUCCUAGUUACUGUCGUUGUGUCCUUGGGCAAGACACUUUACCCACCUGCUCCCAGUGCCACCCACACUGGUUUAAAUGUAACUUAGAUAUUGGGUGUCACUAUGUAAAGCGCUUUGAGUCACUUGAGAAAAGCGCUAUAUAAAUAUAAUUCACUUCACUUUUGAAUUCUUGCAAUUUUUAGAAUAUUUUUUAAAAAUCUCACGUACCCCUUAGCAUACCUUCAAGGACCCCCAGGGGUACGCGUACCCCCAUUUGAGAACCACUGCUUUAAGGGGUUAUACGGCUUAGUAUAGACAUAGCCUUCGAGUACUAGAGUCUUUAUGUAUGUGAUGUACUGUGUUUGUGUCAUUGUAGUACAUCCCACAAACAAAGAUCCAAACUGUUCAAUGCAGGAUUUUGCAUCUUCAAGAGUGGUCUGUAACAUAUAAAACAUCUCUACACUUAUAAAAUCUUAACUGACUUUUUGUCCUCAAUGAGUCUCCCCAGCUGCAGACAGGACUGCAGGCCAAUGGUGAUCUCUGUCAACAUGUCGGCCAUCUUCUUCUGCAUCAGCUGGUUCCUGGCGAGCGGCACGCCGAACUGGAUCCUGGUUCACAGGAGGAGAAGCCGGUUCAAAGUCGAGUGAGUUCAGCGGGCGCUCAAAAUGUACACACAAAGACGCAAAGAGAACCUGUCGAGUGUGUACUGGCGAGCCGCGUGGAAGCAGAACUCCGCAGCCCCGAGAGCUCCCCACGCGAUGCCGUAACGAGCGUUGUUCAGGCAGCCAAACGGGCCCUGGCAGCGACCACAGGAAGGUGAACAUCUUUGCACAAGAAGCAUGCUCCUUUUCCUCCACUCACCCCCAGGCCGGACACGUGAGGGAGCAGGUUCUCCUCUGGAACCUCCACCUCGUCCAUGAGGAUCAUGCCGGUGGCAGAUGCUCUCAGGGAGAACUUGCCCUCGAUCUUUGGAGUGGACAGGCCUUUCAUGCCACGCUCCAGGAUGAAGCCGCGGACUCUGCCGUCGUCACACUUGGCCCAAACCACCGCAACAUCUGCUAUUGGGGAGUUGGUGAUCCUGCAGGUGGGAACAGCUUGAAACUUAUUAUUCAUUCUAACUACAGCUUCAGUAAAUAAUACAAUUUUUGAUUUGUAUUUUUGGAAUAGUUUUCCGCAAUAUAAUACUCAUCAGUCAACUAAAUAUACUCUUUUAGGUAGUCUUAGUAGUACAUUUCCAUUCAGUUUUUGAGUCAUUAUUUAUAUUUUUUUACAUUAUUUUAUUUCAGUGGGUAUGAAUAGUUUACCAUCAUAUAUGAUACUAAUUAGUAAACUAAAUAUACUCUUUUAGGUCGUCUUAUUAAUACAUUGUAUUCAGUUUUUGAGUCAUUAUUUUUUUUUUCUUCAUUUUAUUUCAGUGGUUAUGAAUAGUUUGUUACCAUCAGUCAACUAAAUAUACUAUUUUUGGUGGUCUUAUUAAUACAUUUCUGUUCAGUUUUGAAUUCAUUAUUUGUAUUUUUUUUCAUUAUAUUUUUAUAUAUAUAUAUAAAUAACUUUUUUAGUGGAUAAUUUGCAUGAUGAUGUUAAAAUCACAUAAUCAUAUCAGACAAUUGAUAAUACUCUGACAGGUUAUUUUAUUUUAAAAACAUUUAUUUUCACUCGCAGGAGUCUUCGUACCAUUUUAUUUUGUUUAAACCCAUUGAUACAAAUGAAGAUGUCAGCAUCGCACUCAUCUUAACUGAAGAUAAUCUGUUUUUUAAGAGAAAUGUAUCUAUAAAUGUAUUAUCCAUUAAUUGUGUGUACUGUGUAUACAUGUAUAUGAAAGUUUUUUUUCAGUAGGUAAUAUGUAUGAACAUGGUAAUGGCAUCACACUAAAUCACAAGACAAUUUGUAAUAAUAUCGAUUUUAAUUCAAUACCAAAUGUUUUAAUCAUUUGGUUUUAUUAAUAUUUACAAUUUUAGUAGUUGUAAAAGACGUUAUUAAU